rnacentral:rRNA from 1 species
AGCGAACGCUGGCGGCAGGCCUAACACAUGCAAGUCGAACGAAGUCUUCGGACUUAGUGGCGGACGGGUGAGUAACACGUGGGAACGUGCCUUUAGGUUCGGAAUAACUCAGGGAAACUCGUGCUAAUACCGAAUGUGCCCUUCGGGGGAAAGAUUUAUCGCCUUUAGAGCGGCCCGCGUCUGAUUAGCUAGUUGGUGAGGUAAAGGCUCACCAAGGCUACGAUCAGUAGCUGGUCUGAGAGGAUGACCAGCCACAUUGGGACUGAGACACGGCCCAAACUCCUACGGGAGGCAGCAGUGGGGAAUCUUGCGCAAUGGGCGAAAGCCUGACGCAGCCAUGCCGCGUGGAUGAUGAAGGUCUUAGGAUUGUAAAAUCCUUUCACCGGUGAAGAUAAUGACUGUAGCCGGAGAAGAAGCCCCGGCUAACUCCGUGCCAGCCGCCGCGGUAAGAC